AGAGUUUGAUUAUGGCUCAGAACGAACGCUGGCGGCAUGCCUAACACAUGCAAGUCGAACGAAGGCUUCGGCCUUAGUGGCGCUCGGGUGCGUAACGCGAGGGAAUCUGCCAUUAGGUUCGGAAUGACAGCUGGAAACGACUGCUAAUACCGGAUGAUAUCGAGAGAUCAAAGAUUUAUCGCCUGAGGAUGAGCCCGCGUUGGAUUAGGUAGUUGGUGGGGUAAAGGCCCACCAAGCCGACGAUCCAUAGCUGGUCUGAGAGGAUGAUCAGCCACACUGGGACUGAGACACGGCCCAGACUCCUACGGGAGGCAGCAGUGGGGAAUAUUGGACAAUGGGCGAAAGCCUGAUCCAGCAAUGCCGCGUGAGUGAUGAAGGCCCUAGGGUUGUAAAGCUCUUUUACCCGGGAAGAUAAUGACUGUACCGGGAGAAUAAGCCCCGGCUAACUCCGUGCCAGCAGCCGCGGUAAU
rnacentral:rRNA from 1 species